ACCCACCUUUGACAUGUACGGAAUCCUUUAGAGAUAGAGGAGUGCUCGAAAGAGAGCCGUAACACAGGUGCUGCAUGGCUGUCGUCAGCUCGUGUCGUGAGAUGUUGGGUUAAGUCCCGCAACGAGCGCAACCCUUGCCAUUAGUUGCUACGAAAGGGCACUCUAAUGGGACUGCCGGUGACAAACCGGAGGAAGGUGGGGAUGACGUCAAGUCCUCAUGG
rnacentral:rRNA from 1 species